GUCUAUGGCCAUACCGCUCCGAACAUGCCCUAUCUCAUCUCAUCUUGGAAGCUAAGCAGGGUCAGUCCUGGGAAUACUGGAUGCUGUAAGCU
ensembl:rRNA 5S_rRNA 5S ribosomal RNA